UACGUAGGUGACCAGCGUUGUCCGGAUUUACUGGGCGUAAAGAGCGCGCAGGCGGUCGUUCAAGUCGAGUGUGAAAGCCCCCCGGCUCAACUGGGGAGGGUCACUCGAUACUGAUCGACUUGAAGGCAGGAGAGGGAAGCGGAAUUCCCGGUGUAGUGGUGAAAUGCGUAGAUAUCGGGAGGAACACCAGUGGCGAAGGCGACUUCCUGGCCUGUUCUUGACGCUGAGGCGCGAAAGCCUAGGGUAGCAAACGGGGAUUAA
rnacentral:rRNA from 1 species